rnacentral:rRNA from 1 species
UACGAAGGGUGCAAGCGUUACUCGGAAUUACUGGGCGUAAAGCGUGCGUAGGUGGUUUGUUAAGUCUGUUGUGAAAGCCCCGGGCUCAACCUGGGAAUGGCAGUGGAUACUGGCAAGCUAGAGUGCGGUAGAGGGUAGUGGAAUUCCCGGUGUAGCGGUGAAAUGCGUAGAGAUCGGGAGGAACACCAGUGGCGAAGGCGGCUACCUGGACCAGCACUGACACUGAGGCACGAAAGCGUGGGGAGCAGACAGG